rnacentral:rRNA from 1 species
GGGGGAUAACGUCCGGAAACGGACGCUAAUACCGCAUACGUCCUACGGGAGAAAGCAGGGGACCUUCGGGCCUUGCGCUAUCUGAUGAGCCUAGGUCGGAUUAGCUAGUUGGUGGGGUAAUGGCUCUCCAAGGCGACGAUCCGUAACUGGUCUGAGAGGAUGAUCAGUCACACUGGAACUGAGACACGGUCCAGACUCCUACGGGAGGCAGCAGUGGGGAAUAUUGGACAAUGGGCGAAAGCCUGAUCCAGCCAUGCCGCGUGUGUGAAGAAGGUCUUCGGAUUGUAAAGCACUUUAAGUUGGGAGGAAGGGCAGUAAAUUAAUACUUUGCUGUUUUGACGUUACCGACAUAAUAAGCACCGGCUAACUCUGUGCCAGCAGCCGCGGUAAUACAGAGGGUGCAAGCGUUAAUCGGAAUUACUGGGCGUAAAGCGCGCGUAGGUGGUUCGUUAAGUUGGAUGUGAAAUCCCCGGGCUCAACCUGGGAAACUGCAUUCAAAACUGACGAG